AAUAGGCUGGAGCCAAAAUCUGCAAGUGCAAGACCACGGAAAAUAUUUGUCCACGUCAAACGCAUUUUGUUGAGAAAAGAAUCCGCACACCUGGAGAUCCGGCAUCUGUAUGUUGAUAUUAAGUAUGCUGUUUAAUAAUUUGGCAGUGUCAAAAGGGAUAAAACUAAGAUCAACUGCGAAGAUCACGAAGCGGGCGCAAACGUUCAUAAAUCGCUGCCUUCGUCGGAUUUUGCGAAUUUUCUGGCCCCAACCAAUAACUCAAGCCGGGUUGUUGGGAAAAGUGGAAAGGAAAUGACAAUGGACCACCUGGCGGCGCUCAACAGAAGACGAAUGAAGUAUCUUGGUUUAACGCAGAACGAACUAAGAUUCCUAGCACAAAACCGUAUCCGUUGGCGAAGAGGAGUGGUUGAUGCCUUAUGCUCCAAAUUGAAGUUAAAGGGUCACAUAUCUAUCUACGCAUUCAAUAGGUCGCUUGAUCGAGUUCUCUUUAGAUUCUUUUAGUUUUUGUUUCACUUUCUACAAGUCAUCAAGGCGCCAUCUUUGAACUUUGCAAACCAUUUCCGUGCUGUAGACUUGCCUAUGCACCUUC